GAGGACGAUGUUCAUUGGAAAUCGCCAACAACUCUCAAGACUUGUUCUUCUACUUACAACAACAUCUGAAGGAAGAUUACUACCAGUUUCAAGUUUGUAGCGGCCAUCAUCUUCGAUUCCAUCUAGCGAGCACUGAUCGUUGAUUCCCUUUCCACUUGGAGCAAAUUGGAGUUGUUGGUUGGGGAUAAAGUUACAAUAAGAAGCAUGGUUGAUUCGUCCAAAAUUUGUGGUGUUGGAGUGGUUAGAAAUUUGGAUCCAACUGCUGAAGUUGGUGACAUACCU